GCAGAAAAACCAAGAGCAUAAGGGUGUCU
rnacentral:piRNA from 1 species